ACGGGGACCCGCACAAGCGGUGGAUGAUGUGGAUUAAUUCGAUGCAACGCGAAGAACCUUACUACCCUUGACAUGUCCGGAACUUGCCAGAGAUGGCUUGGUGCCCGAAAGGGAAUCGGAACACAGGUGCUGCAUGGCUGUCGUCAGCUCGUGUCGUGAGAUGUUGGGUUAAGUCCCGCAACGAGCGCAACCCUUAUCAUUAGUUGCUACGCAAGGGCACUCUAAUGAGACUGCCGGUGACAAACCGGAGGAAGGUGGGGAUGACGUCAAGUCCUCAUGGCCCUUAUGGGUAGGGCUUCACACGUCAUACAAUGGUCGGUACAGAGGGUUGCCAAGCCGCGAAGCGGAGCCAAUCCCACAAAGCCGAUCGUAGUCCGGAUUGUUCUCUGCAACUCGAGAGCAUGAAGUCGGAAUCGCUAGUAAUCGCAGGUCAGCAUACUGCGGUGAAUACGUUCCCGGGUCUU
rnacentral:rRNA from 1 species